AGUGGGGACCAGGGAAAGGAGGCCAGGAAGAGCUUGUCUGAAGGCAGCGCGAGAGAAAAAUAGUGCGUUUCCUGAUCGGACCCUGACUCUGUUCAGUCCAGUCAAUAAGUCGGGCAGGAUAUAUUUCUCACCUGAUUUUUUUUUUUUCCCCCAAAACUUUGGGAGACUGCUCCCAGGAGAGGACUACCUGUUUUAUCAUAGCAACGCACUGCGUUUGCUUUCAGCUGAAUGACAUGGUCAACACGGACGAUCUCCGGGGCAAUAGAACCAUAUGAUUGGAGAUUCCAGCCCUGGCCAAAGCUGCGGGCUCAGGUCCAAUAUAUUAAAUAUGGGCUCUAUGAUCAGAUUUCACUGUUUCAGAAAGAUGCGUCUGUGACAUUCGCAGAAGAGUGGGCCAUCCAUCAAACACGAGAGCUACACAGGAUGCAUUGUGCGGGCAGAGCACCUACCCCGUACUACAGCUCAGCGGGAAAGCUCCUCCAUGUGGUUCUCAUCAAAGACCUCAGAAGUGCAUUUCACAUAAUAAUCUAAAGAGACGACCCAAGAUUAAACGCAGGCCCAACACAUAUACAUUUCAGGAUUCGGUAGAGGUAUUUCGACUAUAUAACCUAUGUAGUCAUUUCUGGUACAUAAAUUGGAUUUUUAAAGGCCUUUACAGAAUCUGUAAAGAAUCCUUCCCUACUUUUUAUACCUUUUCUGACAAUAUUGUGUAUAAAUGUUGACAUUUAUCCUUUGAAUUGUGUUAAUUGGGUGGAAUGGCUUCUGCAUCCCUGAGGUGACUUUGAGUUAUCCGUGUUAAGGAGUGGGAAGGAGUAGGAAAAGGAGGAGAUGGUUUCAGUAGGGAGUGGGGGACCAACAGGGAAAGGGCAGAAGGACCAUUAAGGAAUCUACUCCAAACCAAGGAUGCCUUCUCCUUAUCUUCUCUGAGACCACCCACUGCUAUGCCUCACUAAAGAGAGGCACAAAACUCUUAGCUUCCUAAGGAAGGCAGAAUAAUGGCCCCUUUCCAAAGAUGUCCAUAUUCUAAUUUCCAGAACCAUGAAUAUGUCAUCUUACAUGGCAAAGAGGACUUUGCAAAAUUGAUUCAUUUAAGAAUCUUGGGAUGAAAAGAUAAUCUUAGAUGAUGCAAAUGGGCCCAAUGUAAUCACAGGGUUCUUUAUAUGAGAGGCAGGAGGGUCAGACUCACAGAAGGAGAUGUAACGACAGAAGCAGGGUCAGAGAGAGAGAUGUUGGCUCUAUACAUGGAAGAGGGGCCAUGAGCCAAGGGAUGCAGCCAGCCUAUAGAAGCCAGCAAAGAGCAAGGAAAUGGAUUCCUCUUACAGCCUCCAGAAGGAACACAGCCCUGUUGAUAACUUGAUUUCAGGACUUCUGGCCUCUAAAACUCUAACAAACCCGGGUUGUUUUAAGCCACUAAAUUUGUGGUAAUUUGUUAUGGCAAUAAUAAAAAAUCAGUACGCCUCAUUACCCUAGUGAAAACUUACUGAUGGAUAAUUCUGCUCAUUCCAAUCUUGAUAGCCCUUCCAGUGUUGAAGGCUUGUGUUUCAUAGGUGACUAUGAGGAAAGUUUGUGUGUGUUUGUAAUAUGCUGAGAGUACACUGCUCUAAAUAAAUUAUGAGUUCUGAUAUGAAAGACUCUCUGAGCACCACAGAAAUGGAGUAAUAGCCCACACACAUGGCAGCUGAUAAGGAUGGGAGCCCUGCACCUACAAGACAAGGUAACCCCUUACAGUAAGAAAAACCCUCUUGCACGUACAUCCUCCUUGUCUUUCCUGUACAACCUUGGGAAUCUGUAUUCACUUCCAGGACGAUAAGAAUGCUCAACUUGCUGAAGGAAUACCUUUCAUCUAAAAGCACUGAAAUAAAAAUCUCUCCUCAUAAAUUUAAACAUAUCUCUAAGAACAACCAGAUACCUGAGGGAAAAAAAUCAACAAUGUGAAAAGAACUAACAUGAGAAAACAGAAUUUGUAAAGAUCAGAGGAAACUACAAAAUAGCCAUUAGGACCCUCAGAGAGAUGAGAGGCUAUCACAAGCCAAAGUUUGUAGAAAAAAGUGAUCAGAGUAGUUGAAACAACUGUCAUCCCUCAACUCCACAAAUAAAU